CUGAGCUAAAUCCCUAGCCCUUCUAAUGGAACCUUCUUGUACCUCUUUAAAAAAAAGAUUGAACAGAAUUUGGAUAUAAAAAGGGGGUCAAACCAAAGGAGGGACUUAAAAAUAAAGUUAUACUUAUUUACUUUGAAUUAAGAAAUGCACUGUCUCCCUGGAAUAUUGGUCAGUGUUGUAGGCAGAAUAAUGGUCCCCCAAAGACAUUCAUGUCCUGAUGCUCAGAACCUUACCAUGGUGAGAGAAAUGAAGCUGCAGAUGGAAUUGAAGUUUCUGAUCACUCCAGCAAAAGGACUUCUUCAUUAUCCGGGUGUGCCAACAUACAACAGGGUCCUUGUACACUGGAAGAAGGACACAGAAAGUUUAGUAUCAGGGUGAUGCAAUGUGAUGAAGGACCCAGCCUGCCAUUGCUGGCUUUAGAGACAGAAGAAGGGACCGUGAGCCAAGGGAUGUAGGUGUCUUCCAGACGCGGAUGAAGGCAAGGAAAGAGGUUCUUCCCUUUGCCAUCCCGGAGGAACAUAGUCUGUCACGUGACCUGGAGAGACCUAUUUCAAAUUUUUUUCAACCGAAGAGCGGUAAGAUACUAAACUUAUUUUAUUUUAAACCAAGUUUGUAAUUUGUUAUAAUAGCAAUAGAAAACUAAUACAGCAACCUACUUAUUAGUUUAGAAUAUCAGCCAAUAUCUUUCCAAGGAAAAGUGGGCAAGAUAAUGACUCAUAAUCUGGAGAGACAGAUAUAUAUUAAUUAUAUAAAUAGUUCCUAUACUGUGUAUAUGUACAUCUUCAGGCCUAGAUUUGUUGACUGCACAAAAUGGAAAGGUUAAACACAAAAGGAAAAUCCACUGUCUGAGGCUGGACUUUUUUAUUUUCCUCUUCAUUGUGAAUCCUCUUGGGACCCAAAAUGGUUUAUAUGGAAGUUCUUAGAAAUUGAGUAGUUAUGAAUUCCUCUCCACCAAGUACUUGGGUUGGCUGCUAGCUCAUCUCACCUUGAUUUACCCCAAGGUGGGUCAGACUGCCAUGUGUUCUUCUCAGAAAAAUAAAAAAGAAUAUUUACUUUCUCACUGGCAUUUGAAACAAAAGGACAGAGUUGUUGUUGCAAAGCCAUGUGCUAUCUGAGCGAUAAAUACAGUUCAUUUGUUGAGGGAGGUAGGGGCAAGUAGCAACAGGCCCUUCUUGAUGAAUGUGACAGCAAGCAGAGACUCUUCAGAUCUGCUGCUCUUGUGACUGUGGAAUUCCAUCUACCCCUUCUUAUAUUUUAAAAUUUUCUUGGACUCUGAUAGAUUAAGCAACAACAGGCUGGGACAAUGCUGGAACACUAAGAUUAUCACCAUAGGAAUCUGCCUGUGUAUUUUCAAUUGUAGGCAGCACUGCUUUCCAAUCUAAUUGCAAUAAUGUGAAUGAACGCUGGAGGACCCUUCUUCAGGAUUCAGAAAGAAUGGCCAGAUUUCUCCUGACCUAACCAGUUGCCUAACUGGUUACCAAUACUUUCAUAUUCUAUUUGGGGGUCUUUCCUUCCCACUCUUACUAUAACCUCUGCCUGUCACCUAAAUCUAUAACUGACAGUUUCCAAAUAUCAUCGGACUGCCUUCUCCAGAACGUACCAUCUGGGAAAUGCUUGUGUACCUCCUGGCAAAGAAAGAGUAACCCUACCAUCAGUGGGACCCAGCCUAGACUUCAGUUACCUCAGACAGAGCUGUGCAGAGGCAGAAAUACAGAAAAGAAUUAAGAAGAAAUUAAAAAUCAUUUGUCACAUCAACACCUAAAAUAAACCACUGUUACAAAUUUUCCCUGUGGAGCAGCUUGCGACCCUCUGGUAGGCCCACCUCUUCAGCCCAGCGCUAUGAGUGCAGUGUUUGUGCCCUCCCGACCCUAUGAACAAGAGAAAGAGGACUUCUCUGAGGCUCCUAGAUGAAAAUGGAAGCCCACUAUAAAAGU